AUUGAACGCUGGCGGCAUGCUUUACACAUGCAAGUCGAACGGUAACAGGUUAAGCUGACGAGUGGCGAACGGGUGAGUAAUGCAUCGGAACGUGCCCGGUCGUGGGGGAUAACGCAGCGAAAGCUGCGCUAAUACCGCAUACGCUAUAUGGAUGAAAGCGGGGGAUCGCAAGACCUCGCGCGACUGGAGCGGCCGAUAUCAGAUUAGCUAGUUGGUGGGGUAAAGGCUCACCAAGGCGACGAUCUGUAGCUGGUCUGAGAGGACGACCAGCCACACUGGAACGGAGUCACCGUCCAGACUCCUACGGGAGCAAGCAGUGUGGAAUUUUGGACAGUGGGCGCAAGCCUGAUCCGUCAAUGCCGCGUGCAGGAUGAAGGCCUUCGGGUUGUAAUCUGCUUUUGUACGGAACGAAACGGCGAGCUCUAAUACAGUUUGCUAAUGACGGUACCGUAAGAAUAAGCACCGGCUAACUACGUGCCAGCCGCCGCCGUAA
rnacentral:rRNA from 1 species